UCCAUCUCGCAGUGUUGGAAAGCAAGUCUAAAUGGUUUGCAAAGAGGCUAUAAAGUGCAGCUUAACACCACUGAGUGUGUGAAAGAAGGAGAAUUUAAGGUGGUCAUUGAAAGAUACAGGAAGCUGAAGAGCAUGGAACAGAUUUGAAAGCAGAACAUGGCACAGGAACAGCAAGGCUCACUUGUGGUGUAGAAGAAUAAGAAUGUGUCUUCAAAUGCAUUUUGAAAGCACAAGAGGGGACCAGGAGAUGGAACGAAGCAGGGAAGGAAAUGCAAGACGGGUGAGAGGAGAGAAAAAUCAAAGGACUGCAAAUGUGAAGAGCUGGACCACAAACAUGAUCAGAGAAACAAAGGAGAAGAUAAUG